rnacentral:rRNA from 1 species
ACGGGUGAGUAAUGCCUAGGAAUCUGCCUGGUAGUGGGGGACAACGUCUCGAAAGGGACGCUAAUACCGCAUACGUCCUACGGGAGAAAGCAGGGGACCUUCGGGCCUUGCGCUAUCAGAUGAGCCUAGGUCGGAUUAGCUAGUUGGUGAGGUAAUGGCUCACCAAGGCGACGAUCCGUAACUGGUCUGAGAGGAUGAUCAGUCACACUGGAACUGAGACACGGUCCAGACUCCUACGGGAGGCAGCAGUGGGGAAUAUUGGACAAUGGGCGAAAGCCUGAUCCAGCCAUGCCGCGUGUGUGAAGAAGGUCUUCGGAUUGUAAAGCACUUUAAGUUGGGAGGAAGGGCAUUAACCUAAUACGUUAGUGUUUUGACGUUACCGACAGAAUAAGCACCGGCUAACUCUGUGCCAGCAGCCGCGGUAAUACAGAGGGUGCAAGCGUUAAUCGGAAUUACUGGGCGUAAAGCGCGCGUAGGUGGUUUGUUAAGUUGGAUGUGAAAGCCCCGGGCUCAACCUGAGAACUGCAUUCAAAACUGACAAGCUAGAGUAUGGUAGAGGGUGGUGGAAUUUCCUGUGUAGCGGUGA